CUCCUGGUGGUCCAGUGGUUAAGACUCUGCACUUCCAAUGCAGGGGACACAGGUUCGAUCUCUGGUCAGGGAA
rnacentral:tRNA from 1 species